GCUCUCGUGGUGUAGUGGCUAUCAUACUUUCUUAGGGUCCAGUCCUGGUCUCUAAUCCAAUUCGGAUUCGUUCUCCGUUCUCUAGCUAUGGAAGUGGUCCUGGGUUCAAAUCCCGGCGAGGGCC
rnacentral:tRNA from 1 species